AUUGAACGCUGGCGGCAGGCCUAACUCAUGCAAGUCGAGCGAGCGGCGGACGGGUGAGUAAUGUAUGGGGACUGCCCGAUAGAGGGGGAUAACUACUGGAAACGGUAGCUACUACCGCAUACUAUCGGAUAACCCAUAUGGGAUUAGCUAGUAGGUGAGGUAAUUUCUCACCUUGGCGACGAUCACUAGCUGGUCUGAGAGUAUUAUCAUCCACACUGGGACUGAUGCACGGCCCAGACUCCUACGGAGGCAGCAGUGGGGAAUAUUGCACAAUGGGCGCAAGCCUGAUGCAGCCAUUCCGCGUGUAGGAAGAAGGCCCUAGGGUUGUAAAGUACUUUCAGUCGGGAGGCGUUACCGACAGAAGAAGCACCGGAAAAAGAAGAGACAGCAGCCGCGGUAAUAC
rnacentral:rRNA from 1 species